UCAAAGAAAGAGAUAUCCUUUCGAGGCAACACAAGAAGCCAACUACAAAUGAGAAUAUUAUUCUCUUGGUGCAGGGAUUGUUGCAUGUGGACCCCAUCAGCCUUGAAAAGUCCAUGCAAUGGAGUGAAACUUGACAAAGCAGUUGCAGUCGUUCACCAGUGAAGCAAAGUCUUCUUCCUAGUCACGCAGGUUAUAUUAUGCCCUUCAUGAUUUUAAUUUCUCUAUGAAGCAUCAGUUCCUGAAGGAAAACACACAACCCCAAGCAGAAGAAGAGUUUCUUCUUUAUAUCCCAAAAUACCCUGUGCAAAUCUCUACCGUGGCUCUUGAAACUACAUAUAGCAGUGGGCUCAACUUUUUCGUUUUUGAGCAUAGAAUUCUCAGCAGAACAUUUGAAGGCAUUAACUCAUAUUUAUCGAUGUCACUUUGUUCACUGGGUAGACCUUUAGCCUUGUGUUUCUGUUUGAGAGGGGACACUUCACACCCUGAUUUAUACAUUCAGGAGGCAUACAUCUGAAGCUUUUCAAUAAAUGCACACUUUCUCAACAGCUCUGCCUCAACGUUGCUUCUUUUACUCCCUAUGGUUUUUAUCCUGCAAUACACCAC
rnacentral:lncRNA from 1 species